AUUGAACGCUGGCGGCAGGCCUAACACAUGCAAGUCGAACGGUAACAGGAAGUAGCUUUCUUCUUUGCUGACGAGUGGCGGACGGGUGAGUAAUGUCUGGGAAACUGCCUGAUGGAGGGGGAUAACUACUGGAAACGGUAGCUAAUACCGCAUAACGUCGCAAGACCAAAGAGGGGGACCUUCGGGCCUCUUGCCAUCGGAUGUGCCCAGAUGGGAUUAGCUAGUAGGUGGGGUAACGGCUCACCUAGGCGACGAUCCCUAGCGGGUCUGAGAGGAUGACCGGCCACACUGGAACUGGGACACGGUCCAGACUCCUACGGGAGGCAGCAGUGGGGAAUAUUGCACAAUGGGCGCAAGCCUGAUGCAGCCAUGCCGCGUGUAUGAAGAAGGCCUUCGGGUUGUAAAGUACUUUCAGCGGGGAGGAAGGGAGUAAAGUUAAUACCUUUGCUCAUUGACGUUACCCGCAGAAGAAGCACCGGCUAACUCCGCG
rnacentral:rRNA from 1 species